UUCUUCAUUAGCAUGCUAUACCAUCUCAGACUGUGUUUUAGUUUGAUCUUAGAAGCUAAGCAGGAUUGCUCCUGUGCAGUACGUGGAUGAGAGAUCUCCAAAGAACACAUAGGUGCUGUGGAAA
rnacentral:rRNA from 1 species